CACGGGGUGGCCAUAUAUGCACCGAGCAAAAGAGCAGCAGACGGACAGCUGGAGCUUCCAAUCAGCCAGUGAGCUGAGGCGACCCCCGGGGGCCAAACUACCAACCUCACACCGGGGGACAGAAAUAGCUCGCCGCGCGCGUGCGCGCCUGUGUGUCCCGGCUGCGGUCUAAUAAUAGAGGGGCUGCCUUCUCCUUUAAGACCCACUUGUUGGCGCUUAUCUCGCUAAUAUUCCCUUCAAAAAUGGUCAUUAAAGUGUUUCUCGCCUCGUCUUCAGGCUCCACGGCGAUCAAGAAGAAGCAACAAGAUGUGGUUGCCUUUUUGGAGGCUCUCAAAGUGGAGUACACUCAACUGGACAUCGCCUGCAAUGAGGAGAACCGCAUGUGGAUGAGGCAGAACGUUCCCGAGGAAAAGAAGCCGUCCAAUGGCAUCCCCCUGCCCCCUCAGAUCUUCAAUGAAGAAAGCUACUGUGGGGACUACGAAACUUUCUUCGAUGCCAAAGAAGAUAACGCUGUGUACUCCUUCUUGGGGCUGCCCCCACCCCAUGGUUCAAAGGAGGCAGCACAGGCCGACAAGAUUGUGGAGAAUGGAACUCAUGCUCAGACAAACGGACACGUUGAUGAUUCAACAGAGGCGUGUAACGGGGAUACACAUGGGGAGGAGGAUGUAGCGGAUGAGGAGGAGGAAGGUGAGGGAGCAGACCAAGAAGCCGAGGAGCCUGCAGACACAGAGGAGGCUGACCACGUUACAGAAGACACAACUCAAGCUGCGGAAGAGGAAGAGGAACAGGAGGAAGAGGAUUUGCAGUCCGAGGAGGAAGAAGAGCUACGACAACUUGAGGAUGAAGAAGAUGCUGAGGCACAAGAGGAAGAAGAAGACUUGGAAGAAAAUCAGGUAGGACCAAGAAUUCACUCCAGACUGGUCUGAGAGAACCAGAUUUUCUUUUUUGCGGGGGGACGAAACAAAGAAUUCACCGGUUUUUAGCGUCAAUCUUGUUUUUAUUUCGAUGACAUCAGUUUGGCAUCACUGUUCAAAUGUUUUUUAUUCAUCUUAUCUCACAGGAGGAGGCGGCAGAGUAGCCUGACUAUGAACGAUGAUGUUGACCCUCUACUGUACAGCCUAAAGGAGCCUCCUGUGCCAAGUCUACCCUGAUCGCCGACAUUUGACCCCAGCAGCCAUGUCAGACAGCUUUCUGACUGCUUCACGAUGGCAGAACUGGAUCUCACCGGAUACUACAUCCUGGAAGGCAACAACAAAUCGCAAAACUGCAUCACACAGGCCUCUUGCCUUUUCCCUUUCACUGCAACCGUGGCUUAAUUUUUAUAUCUGCAUAUGAAGAUUAACUGUACGUAGUUGAGAGGGUUGGUCACUGGAGGAGCUUUUGGAAAAUCAGAAGUGAUUUUUGUAAAAAAAAAAAAAAAACAAACUUAAUGAUAACAAUUAGGACUGUCACUGUCAAUAAACUUCUUUUUCUUUUUUUGUUUGUUUUAUUUUUCUUUUUUGUAAUAAAUUGUUCAAGGUGCUCCACUUCUAACAUGAGCCCAAAAACUCUGUCCAAUAAAUGCACUUUGUUAAAUAAAAACCUCUGACGUAAGCCUGAAAUAAAAACAAUGAAAGACAGUGAGCUGCUUUACUUCAGUCAACUCUAUCUCAGGGGCAGAUCCAUUCAUCUUUACAGAGAGAUUCUCUGUAGGACUUAAAAGCUCUUUGUUUGCAGUCUGACUUGCUUUGUGUAUUUACAUCAGUUCAGAUUGUGGGGCAAAGUUCCCACCGAGGUGAGUAAUGUUUAACAGGACAUUUUUGGGCGAUAAGGUUGAGAACCAACCAAGAGCAAGAAGCGGCAGCAUCGUCGACGCGUGGGGAAAAUGGGGUGAGUCACUAUUCUACGUACUAUUUGUACAAACAUCAGCAUCGCAAAAAAUCGUUUUACAAGUAUUAGUUGUUGUGGAUGAGCCUUGAAUUUGUUCAUUGACAAGUUGACAGUUUCCACUGUUUUACUGUUGCUAAACUGUGGUUCUGUGAUAAUAACUAUCAUGAAAUGUUGUGGUUUUACUUUACUUUCUGUGCCUGAAUGUCUAAUUCAAUGUUUAUGAAAGAUUCGAUUUGUCAACAGAAAACUCUGUUUGGGAGUCACGGCGAUGGUUUACCACGCCACAUGCAGAAGAUAUUCCCAUUAAAAAGUGUAUUUUUGGACUGGUUUAGUGAGAAGGGAAGGCAAGACUCACCAGUUAGUUAUUUACUGUGUAUCAGCUUAUUCCAACUAUGUCGAGCGGAAGUCAUUAAAAACAGGGCGCACUCAUUCAAUAAGAAUGGAGACAGUACUUCUUAGUACAAACUAGUGAAAUCAGACAAUGAUACGAACCUCUGUUGAUAAAAAAUGCUGAUGCGGGAUUUGAAUGUGGCGAGUUCUGGAGAUAGAUGGCAGUGAAGGCUAGAGGUUUCCUGUGUUCCUGGUGCAGGUUUUGGAUGCUGGUGUGUGGUGAGCUCGGACUAUAUGGACGAUUCUGGGGCUGGCUGAGGUCAUUGGGGUUGGGAGGGGAUUUGAAAAUGGGUUACUGCACUGGAUACAAUGUUGGAGAAGAGACAGUUUGUCAGGCAUGAAGCUGUGGAUGAGCAAAAUUGCUUCAAAAUUUUCCUAAAACCGCAUUUUUUAUUUGAAUUUUUGGGACAUCAAACCUUUUGCAGUGAGCAUGUAACAAAAAAAACAACCUGACAAUCUUGGUAUGGGGCCACCGCAGAAGUAAAAAAAGAUGUUCAGCUGUAGAAGAGCCGGUGUGAGCAGGGAGUCGUGAGAAUGAGUCGAGAGGUUUUUGAAGCAGGAGGUUGUGAAAGGUCUGCACUGAUGGCAACUUCCUGCCAGGCUUUCAGCAUUUGUGUGUAGGGUGAGUGUCGGGCGCAAUCCUUCCUUCACUGGAGACGUGUCGGUGAUGGAGGGAAGGCAAACCUGUCACGCGCAGAGGAAGUUUGAUGACCAGAGGUGUAAUUACACACCAGUAGAUCUUCACUGAAGGUUGUGCUUGACACCGUCUGGUCACAUUCAUUAGUUCAUAAACAGGCCAAUACAUACAGAGAUUCAUGUUAAUCUUUAUCAAAUAACACCUCAUGUUUUUCAGGUCCACUCACAAACCGAUGCGCUGAAUUGA